UACGGAGGGAGCUAGCGUUGUUCGGAAUUACUGGGCGUAAAGCGCACGUAGGCGGCUUUGUAAGUUAGAGGUGAAAGCCUGGGGCUCAACUCCAGAACUGCCUUUAAAACUGCAUCGCUUGAAUCCAGGAGAGGUGAGUGGAAUUCCGAGUGUAGAGGUGAAAUUCGUAGAUAUUCGGAAGAACACCAGUGGCGAAGGCGGCUCACCGGACUGGUAUUGACGCUGAGGUGCGAAAGCGUGGGGAGCAAACAGG
rnacentral:rRNA from 1 species